AGUUACCUACGGGAGGCAGCAGUGGGGAAUAUUGCACAAUGGGGGAAACCCUGAUGCAGCGACGCCGCGUGAGCGAUGAAGUAUUUCGGUAUGUAAAGCUCUAUCAGCAGGGAAGAAAAUGACGGUACCUGACUAAGAAGCCCCGGCUAACUACGUGCCAGCAGCCGCGGUAAUACGUAUGGUGCAAGCGUUAUCCGGAUUUACUGGGUGUAAAGGGAGCGCAGGCGGCACGGCAAGCCUGAUGUGAAAGCGCGCGGCCCAACC
rnacentral:rRNA from 1 species